AUUGAACGCUGGCGGCAGGCCUAACACAUGCAAGUCGAGCGGAUGACGGGAGCUUGCUCCUUGAUUCAGCGGCGGACGGGUGAGUAAUGCCUAGGAAUCUGCCUGGUAGUGGGGGACAACGUUUCGAAAGGAACGCUAAUACCGCAUACGUCCUACGGGAGAAAGCAGGGGACCUUCGGGCCUUGCGCUAUCAGAUGAGCCUAGGUCGGAUUAGCUAGUUGGUGAGGUAAUGGCUCACCAAGGCUACGAUCCUUAACUGGUCUGAGAAGAUAAUCAGUCACACUGGAACUGAGACACGAUCCAGACUCCUACGGGAGGCAGCAGUGGGGAAUAUGGGACAAUGGGCGAAAGCCUGAUCCAGCCAUGCCGCGUGUGUGAAGAAGGUCUUCGGAUUGUAAAGCACUUUAAGUUGGGAGGAAGGGCAGUAAAUUAAUACUUUGCUGUUUUGACGUUACCGACAGAAUAAGCACCGGCUAACUUCGUGCCAGCAGCCGCCGUAAAAC
rnacentral:rRNA from 1 species